rnacentral:tRNA from 1 species
UAUGGCAGAUUAGUGCAAAGAAUUUAAAAUUCUUAUAUAAAGAAUCAUCUCUUCUUUUAUUAAAA